CACGUAGGGGACGAGCGUUGUCCGGAAUCAUUGGGCGUAAAGGGCGCGUAGGUGGCCUGGUCAGCGUGCGGUGAAAGCUCGGGGCUCAACCCCGAGUCGGCCGUGCGAACUGCUGGGCUUGAGCACUGUAGAGGCAGGCGGAAUUCCGGGUGUAGCGGUGGAAUGCGUAGAGAUCCGGAAGAACACCGGUGGCGAAGGCGGCCUGCUGGGCAGUAGCUGACACUGAGGCGCGACAGCGUGGGGAGCAAACAGG
rnacentral:rRNA from 1 species